UCCAGUAAGCUUUCACCAGCCACUCCAAUAACUCCGAUAGGCAUCCCUCCUCCUGCUAUCAGCUCUUCAGCAUCUUUCCAGACAACAAGCUCAGAUUUUCAGUAGGAUCUCGAGGGACCCAGCCUCACUGGAACAAGAAGAAGGCUUCAUUUCCAGGCUGAGCCAACGCAACACAGGGUGUAGUCAGAGCUGGAAGACAUCGCACCUACUGCAGCACACUUAAAUGACAAGCCUAAGUCAUCGAGCCAUAUUGCCCCCCACCCUCUGCUGUAUAGAAGAUGCGUGCAAUCCCCAUGAUAGGCGACUUUCUUUGAUGUCUAUUUUCACGCCGCAACUGCGCAACAUUCCUGCUUGCUUGAUUAUUUGUUUUCUUUCCUUUGCUUAAACUACCAGUGCUAACUGUUUGGUCAUUAGCUGAGAUGCGCUUCCAUUGCAUUCUUCACGUGUUUUGUCUUUA